GCACCACAAGAACGCGUGGAGCAUGUGGCUUAAUUUGACUCAACGCGGGAAAUCUUACCGGGUCCGGACACACUGAGGAUUGACAGGCAAUAUCUCAUGGUUAUUAACCGGUAUUUAUUUAAUCGGUUAUUAAGCAUCAGUGUUAAAUAUGCUAGUCCUUUCAUGAUUAUGUGAUAGGUGGUGCAUGGCCGUUCUUAGUUCGUGGAGUGAUCUGUCUGCUUAAUUGCGUUUCACUAAGGGCCCAUAAAUUCAAGGUAUGUUAGCUAUCGUCGCUCUAUGGACCCCUUAUACUCGAUUUCGCUUUAAUUAGCGUUAUUUGUUUAAUAAGCGCGCGUCUUUAUUU
rnacentral:rRNA from 1 species